UUACUGAGUUUACGCUCUACAACCCUUUGUGAACAUACCUAUAACUGUUGCUUCGGCGGGCAGGGUCUCCGUGACCCUCCCGGCCUCCCGCCCCCGGGCGGGUCGGCGCCCGCCGGAGGAUAACCAAACUCUGAUUUAACGACGUUUCUUCUGAGUGGUACAAGCAAAUAAUCAAAACUUUUAACAACGGAUCUCUUGGUUCUGGCAUCGAUGAAGAACGCAGCGAAAUGCGAUAAGUAAUGUGAAUUGCAGAAUUCAGUGAAUCAUCGAAUCUUUGAACGCACAUUGCGCCCGCCAGCAUUCUGGCGGGCAUGCCUGUUCGAGCGUCAUUUCAACCCUCAAGCUCUGCUUGGUGUUGGGGCCCUACGGCUGACGUAGGCCCUCAAAGGUAGUGGCGGACCCUCCCGGAGCCUCCUUUGCGUAGUAACUUUACGUCUCGCACUGGGAUCCGGAGGGACUCUUGCCGUAAAACCCCCAAUUUUCCAAAGGUUGACCUCGGAUCAGGUAGGAAUACC
rnacentral:rRNA from 1 species